UUGCCUGCUUUGGCGGCACACAUUCUCAAAUUGAAACAACACAGAGAAAAUUAGUAUGGCCCCUGCAUAAGGACCCCACAUAGAGGUUUGAAGCAUUACAUAUUUUG
ensembl:snRNA U6 U6 spliceosomal RNA